rnacentral:lncRNA from 1 species
UCAUGGCGCCCGAGGAGAACGCGGGAUCGAACUCUUGCUGCAGGGUUUCGAUCGCCGCUUCCUGGCGGCGCGCACACUGCGCUCCUUCCCCUGGCAUGUGGGCGGCGGGGCGAGCGGAGAGGCCCGCGGGGCUCGCGGGAGUCCAGGGGCAGACGGGAUGGGUCUCCGUGCUGAAACCCCCGGCGCUCCGGCUACACUGUGAAGCAUCCUGUGUGUGUGUGAAGCACCCGCCGUCAGUCAAGUAUGCCCGGUGCUUUCUCUCAGAACUCAUCAAAAAGCCCUCGGGAGGCUCGGUCACAAUCUCCGAGAGCACAGCCAUCAUCUCUCACGGUACCACAGGCCUGGUCACAUGGGACGCCACCCUCUGCCUUGCAGAAUGGGCCAUCGAGAACCCAGCAGCCUUCACUAACAGUAACCUGAAGCUUUCACCGUAGACGUGCUGUAUUGCCCAGAAGCCAUCGUGUCGCUGGUCGGGGUCCUGCGGAGGCUGGCUGCCUGCCAGGAGCACAAGCGGGCUCCUGAGGUCUACGUGGCCUUUACCGUCCGCAACCCAGAGACGUGCCAGCUGUUCACCACCGAGCUAGGCUGGGCCGGGAUCAGAUGGGAAGCAGAAGCUCAUCAUGACCAGAAACUGUUUCCCUACGGAGAGCACUUGGAGAUGGCAAUGCUGAACCUCACACUGUAGGACUCACACACGACUCUAACGGGAUUGUAAGAAUCAAGUCACUCUCAUGGGAAGAAUUUUUAUAUGGGAAAGCGGCUAAAACUUUCAUUGGACUGGAAUGUUUGGAGAUUGUUAAAUUCCAAAUCAGGAACCACAAACUGCCCUCUAAUAAGAUAUCAGCUGUCUAAGCGUGUGGGUGCCGCCUUUCUGCCAGUAGUUCUGGUUCUUAAGAAAAGCACCAUAAAUCAGACAUGAAAAUUCUGGCUCCAAAAAUAGCAUUUUCUUUGUGCAAAUAAAAACGUGUGUAUCAAGUAUGACGUUCCCCCAACGUGGACACACUUGGUUCCUCAGAAAGCCAAGCCCGCUGCAGCUGCCACAUCCCAGGGCUUAUGGUGCAGCAGGUGCUUUUUUCAAGACAGGAAUCAAAGUGUUAGGAACACGGCAGACAGGUGACACCUGGAUACCAAAUGCAGGAUGAGGAGUACUGCAGAGGUCACAGGGAAGUCACAGAACAGUAAUACGCUAGCAGGGGCAUGGGGCGUGAAGAACAGAAGAAGACAGGAAGCGUUUCAGAGACUCCAAAGAAGAAAUCAGGGCCCACCACAGCUUCCCGGGUCAUUCACCAGGUGGCACCACUGCCGUCAUUUCAGCUUCUGGCCACUGGGAGGCGCUGCUCGAAAGGGUUUGCCCUGAGACUCCAAGAAGAAGCUGCGGGAAGGACAGCAGGGGCCCUGGGGUUUUAGCCUCUGGCCCAGGAGUUAUGUGUCCAUAACCAAAGGGAGCAUAGUCUGCACCCAGCUCUCAUCCCAUCAGAGCUGCUGCGACUCCCGCAGGUUCUUCUGGAACUGGUUUAGCUUGCCUGCAGGAUCAGGAGAGUUUGAGAAAAGCAUCUGCAAAAUGCUAAAGAGCAGAGCUUACCUCAUUGCCUGUCCCCAUCUCAUCCCAGGUCACCACCUGGCUGACCCCAGGUCCCCGACCCAACAACAACCCCUCCCAAGUCCCUAACUCCCUCACUUGGACUUGAGACCCUUCACAACCCAGCAGCGCUCCGCCUCCAACGUGACAUCAUGCUUUCUGGAAACUUCCCCGUAUGUCCCACUUUCCCACACUUGGUGCCCUGGAGCACCUUCCGGCCUCUACAUGCUGUACGUUCCCCUGUGAGCACCCUCCUCUCGGCCUCUGGCCAACACAGUCCCACCCAUCUGUGGGUAACAAACGGGUGUGUGUGUUCUUUUCAGCCUUGCUAAACUGUCUGAAUCAAGGAUCACAAACUACAGCCUGCAGGCCAAAGCCAGCCCACAGCCUGUGUUUGUAAAUAAAGCUUUAUUGGAACAAAGCCACACCCCUUAAUCUACAGAUGAUCUGUGGCUACUUUCACACCACAACAGAGUACCAUGGUUCUGACAGAGACUGGGGGACCCUGUCUAAAUGACUUCUGACCUGGACCUUUACUGAAAAUCCUCCCAAUCAUUCUGUUGA